rnacentral:lncRNA from 1 species
GUCAGGCCAAAUCUAUUUUCACGUUUUUAUUUGACAAUCGAAGAGUACAGAUGACGAUGGCGGCCGAGAUCGAAGAAUGUUGCCUCAACCAUCCCUGUUAAUGUUUCGCCGGCAUCGCCGUUGUCAUCGGCAGAUCUCGAUUUGACUUUAAAGAGAGACGCGAGAGUGAGAGAGUUAUGUCGGAUUGAGAGAGAUGGCGAGUUACGAAGAUGAAU